UCCAUUCACUACUGUAAGUCGCUCUGGAUAAGAGCGUCUACUAAAUGACUGUAA
rfam:Salmo salar isolate Sally breed double haploid chromosome ssa23, whole genome shotgun sequence.